rnacentral:tRNA from 1 species
GAGGAUGUAGCUCCAACUGACAGAGCGGCAGGAUUGCUAACCCUGCGUCACAGUAAAUGGCCGUUGCGAGACGGUUGUGCGGGUUUGAGCCCCGUCAUCCUCG